CUCUUCAAAACUUCACACAUGGAAGCCCCUGGAUUACGAGCUAAUCCAAAGAAAACUGCAAAGGCUCUUGAACUGACGGAUUCAAUCCCUAUUCCAAAGCAACCACACAAGAGAGACUUAACAAGAGCUGUAAUUAUUAUUAUUAUUAUUAUUAAACUUAAUUUCACAAGCUGAAUGCAUGAGACUUAUAUCACAGGAUUACGUCACAAUGAUAAAGAUUAAAUGUUUUUUAUUUUGAUUGUAGUGACAAAAGUUUUACUUUGUAGUGGUACGUUGUGUUGAAAUCUUGACCUUGACACUGUCCUGUGCUAAGACCCUGACAAAACAGGCAGCCACACACAUGGUUGAUGCCCUGAAGGAGGAACUGAGAAAACAAAAAGUACCUGAUCCUAACACGGCCCCACCACUUUAAGACUCUGACUUAGACUCUGACGCAACAGCCAUUUCUGAAGAAUCCUCUUCCAUGAAGGAACCAAUAAGAAUUCAUGAAUCAGAAAGUGAGGAUGAUAGCCCAUCACAGUGCCCAAAAAAGAAACCAAAGCUUGACAAUGAAAUUGUCAGUGCAUUGAAAGAGUUGCCAAAGGUAGUAAAAACACUAAAAGAUAUAGUGGCGACCAUGAUGGUGGCUCCAGCCUCAUCAAGUCAAGUGCAACAAACAUUUGUUGGAUCACCGCCUGCAGAAAUGGUAUGGUUACAUGCACAGCUAUGUUUGUAAUGUUAACAUAUUAAACAUUCACAUGUGCAGUAUGCUACCUUAAAUACAAGCAAACUCAUAAAAUUAAAUUCAUUGUCGACAAUGCUGUGAACAAGAAAUAUAAACUCAGCCAAAAAAGAAAAUUAAAUUUUUUCUAAUAUAAUAAAUUAAUAAAGGCCUUCUGAAGUUAAGCA
ensembl:lncRNA